rnacentral:misc_RNA from 1 species
UUAAGUACCGCUUUGUAAAGACUGAAAGCAAAUAAGAGAUUCCAAUUACAAGUUGUGAACGAGAAGGGGGGUUUUUUUUUUUGAAGCAACAACUUUAACAGACCAAGAGGGAAAAGAAGAAGCAGGUGAAGGCAUUUCUCAAAGCAAUUACAAUCUCCAGGACAUUACAUGAAGCACACAACAUAAUAUACAGUGACAUUACCAAUCUAAAUGAAUCAAAGGUCAACUUACUACAUCUUCUGAGACCCAAGGAGGAUAAUUCAGUGUUAUAGGCCCUUUUGCACAGACAGAUAUGCAAGAACAAAAGGAAUUAAAUUGCUAUUGCAAUUGAGCCUCUAUUCAUUAGACUAUAGCAACCAUCUAAAACAGCUAUUUUUUAAUCACCAACGAAAUUUGCUGCAAAUAAUGAUACAAUAAUAAAAUGGGAAUUCAUAGUUUUUUAAAGGAAAAAAAAAUAGCAAGUAGGCUAAAUAAGUAAAUGAACAAAACAAGAUGUUAGAAGUAUGGUUAAUGGCUUCACCUGUAAGGCUCCUUACAUGCAGAG